UACAGAGGUCUCAACCGUUGUUCGGAUUCAUUGGGCGUAAAGGGUGCGUAGGCGGUCGCGUAAGUCAGGUGUGAAAUCUCAGGGCUCAACCCUGAAACUGCACUUGAUACUGCGUGGCUCGGGUACUGGAGAGGAGACUGGAAUUUACGGUGUAGCAGUGAAAUGCGUAGAUAUCGUAAGGAAGACCAGUGGCGAAGGCGAGUCUCUGGACAGUUACCGACGCUGAGGCACGAAGGUCAGGGGAGCAAACAGG
rnacentral:rRNA from 1 species